rnacentral:snRNA from 1 species
ACGUAUUAUUUUACAACAUAUC